GGUGGCUCAGUGGUAGAGCGCUGGCCUAGCAUGCAGGAAGCCCUGGGUUCGAUUCCUCAGCACCA
rnacentral:tRNA from 1 species